AACGAACGCUGGCGGCAGGCCUAACACAUGCAAGUCGAACGCCCCGCAAGGGGAGUGGCGCACGGGUGAGUAACGCGUGGGAAUAUGCCCUUCGGUUCGGAAUAACGUUUGGAAACGAACGCUAACACCGGAUACGCCCUUUUGGGGAAAGUUUACGCCGAGAGAGGGGCCCGCGUCCGAUUAGGUAGUUGGUGGGGUAAUGGCCUACCAAGCCGACGAUCGGUAGCUGGUCUGAGAGGAUGAUCAGCCACACUGGGACUGAGACACGGCCCAGACUCCUACGGGAGGCAGCAGUGGGGAAUAUUGGACAAUGGGCGCAAGCCUGAUCCAGCAAUGCCGCGUGAGUGAUGAAGGCCUUAGGGUUGUAAAGCUCUUUCGCACGCGACGAUGAUGACGGUAGCGUGAGAAGAAGCCCCGGCUAACUUCGUGCCAGCCGCCGCCGUAA
rnacentral:rRNA from 1 species